GACGAACGCUGGCGGCGUGCCUAAUACAUGCAAGUCGAACGAGAGCGACCGGUGCUUGCACUGGUCAAUCUAGUGGCGAACGGGUGAGUAACACGUGGGUAACCUGCCCAUCAGAGGGGGAUAACAUCCGGAAACGGAUGCUAAAACCGCAUAGGUCUUCGAACCGCAUGGUUUGAAGAGGAAAAGAGGCGCAAGCUUCUGCUGAUGGAUGGACCCGCGGUGCAUUAGCUAGUUGGUGUGGUAACGGCUCACCAAGGCCGUGAUGCAUAGCCGACCUGAGGGGGUGAUCGGCCACAUUGGGACUGAGACACGGCCCAAACUCCUACGGGAGGCAGCAGUAGGGAAUCUUCCGCAAUGGACGCAAGUCUGACGGAGCAACGCCGCGUGAGUGAAGAAGGUGUUCGGAUCGUAAAACUCUGUUGUUCGAGAAGAACAAGUGCUAGAGUAACUGUUAGCGCCUUGACGGUAUCUAACCAGAAAGCCACGGCUAACUACGUG
rnacentral:rRNA from 1 species